rnacentral:rRNA from 1 species
GUUUCUAUCUAUGAAGUGCUUUCUCCCAGUACGAAAGGAUCGGAGAAAAAAGGUCCAUGCUUAAAGUAAACCUUUCCCCCACCUGAUGAAGACAACUUAAUCAGACAAAAGGCACCCACCCAUGCCGUAGAUAACAGCU